CAAUUAUACAGCGAAACUGCGAAUGGCUCAUUAUAUAAGUUAUCGUUUAUUUGAUAGUACCUUACUACUUGGAUAACCGUGGUAAUUCUAGAGCUAAUACAUGCUAAAAAUCCCGACUUCGGAAGGGAUGUAUUUAUUAGAUUAAAAACCAAUGCCCUCUGGGCUCUCUGGUGAUUCAUGAUAACUUUUCGAAUCGCAUGGCCUUGCGCCGGCGAUGGUUCAUUCAAAUUUCUUCCCUAUCAACUUUCGAUGUUUGGGUAUUGGCCAAACAUGGUCGCAACGGGUAACGGAGGGUUAGGGCUCGACCCCGGAGAAGGAGCCUGAGAAACGGCUACUACAUCCAAGGAAGGCAGCAGGCGCGCAAAUUACCCAAUCCCGACACGGGGAGGUAGUGACAAUAAAUACUGAUACAGGGCUCUUUCGGGUCUUGUAAUUGGAAUGAGUACAAUUUAAAUCCCUUAACGAGGAACAAUUGGAGGGCAAGUCUGGUGCCAGCAGCCGCGGUAAUUCCAGCUCCAAUAGCGUAUAUUAAAGUUGUUGUGGUUAAAAAGCUCGUAGUUGAACCUUGGGCCUGGCUGGCCGGUCCGCCUCACCGCGUGUACUGGUCCGGCCGGGCCUUUCCCUCUGUGGAACCUCAUGCCCUUCACUGGGCGUGACGGGGAAACAGGACUUUUACUGUGAAAAAAUUAGAGUGCUCCAGGCAGGCCUAUGCUCGAAUACAUUAGCAUGGAAUAAUGAAAUAGGACGUGCGGUUCUAUUUUGUUGGUUUCUAGGACCGCCGUAAUGAUUAAUAGGGACAGUCGGGGGCAUCAGUAUUCAAUUGUCAGAGGUGAAAUUCUUGGAUUUAUUGAAGACUAACUACUGCGAAAGCAUUUGCCAAGGAUGUUUUCAUUAAUCAGGAACGAAAGUUAGGGGAUCGAAGACGAUCAGAUACCGUCGUAGUCUUAACCAUAAACUAUGCCGACUAGGGAUCGGACGAUGUAAAUAAUUGACUCGUUCGGCACCUUACGAGAAAUCAAAGUGUU
rnacentral:rRNA from 1 species